rnacentral:rRNA from 1 species
GGGUGCGAUCAUACCAGCUCUAAUGCACUGGAUGCCAUCGGAACUCCGAAGUUAAGCGUGCUUGAACGAUGUAUAAUAGUUUUAUACAUACCUGCUGCUCUGAGAGUAAAUUUUUUGUAUGUAUUCA